GGUAACGCUGGCGGCAUGCCCACAGCACUCCAAGUUGAACGGGUUUAAGUUUAUUAAACUUAACAAGUAGCGGACGGGUGAGUAACGCGUAAGAACCUACCUUUAGGUAAGGAAUAACUAUUGGAAACGAUAGAUAAUACCUUAUAAGCUUAUAGUAAAAGAUAAAAUCGCCUAAGGAUGGGCUUGCGUCUGAUUAGCUUGUUGGUGAUUUAAAAGAUUCACCAAGGCAACGAUCAGUAGUUGGUCUAAGAGGAUGAUCAACCACACUGGGACUGAGACACGGCCCAGACCUCUACGGAGGGCAGCAGUGAGGAAUUUUCCGCAAUGGGCGAAAGCCUGACGGAGCAAUGCCGCGUGGAGGAUGAAAGCUUGUGAGUCGUAAACUCCUUUUCUUAGUGAAGAAAUAAGACGGUAUCUAAGGAAUAAGCAUCGGCUAACUCCGUGACCAGCAGCCGCGGUAAUACGGAGGAUGCAAGCGUUAU
rnacentral:rRNA from 1 species